ACGGGAGGCAGCAGUAGGGAAUCUUCCGCAAUGGACGAAAGUCUGACGGAGCAACGCCGCGUGAGUGAUGAAGGCUUUCGGGUCGUAAAACUCUGUUGUAAGGGAAGAACAAGUACAGUAGUAACUGGCUGUACCUUGACGGUACCUUAUUAGAAAGCCACGGCUAACUACGUGCCAGCAGCCGCGGUAAUACGUAGGUGGCAAGCGUUGUCCGGAAUUAUUGGGCGUAAAGCGCGCGCAGGCGGUCCUUUAAGUCUGAUGUGAAAGCCCACGGCUCAACCGUGGAGGGUCAUUGGAAACUGGGGGACUUGAGUGCAGAAGAGGAAAGUGGAAUUCCAAGUGUAGCGGUGAAAUGCGUAGAGAUUUGGAGGAACACCAGUGGCGAAGGCGACUUUCUGGUCUGUAACUGACGCUGAGGCGCGAAAGCGUGGGGAGCAAACAGGAUUAGAUACCCUGGUA
rnacentral:rRNA from 1 species